UACGUAGGGUGCAAGCGUUGUCCGGAAUUAUUGGGCGUAAAGAGCUUGUAGGCGGUUUGUCGCGUCUGCUGUGAAAUUUCGGGGCUCAACCCCGAACUUGCAGUGGGUACGGGCAGACUAGAGUGUGGUAGGGGAGACUGGAAUUCCUGGUGUAGCGGUGAAAUGCGCAGAUAUCAGGAGGAACACCAAUGGCGAAGGCAGCACUCUGGGACGUGACUGACGCUGAGACGCGAAAGUGUGGGGAGCAAACAGG
rnacentral:rRNA from 1 species